rnacentral:rRNA from 1 species
UAUUAUUAAUAAUUUAAUAAUUUAAUUAAUAAUUAUAAUUGUUAAAAAAAAAUUAAUUAUUAUGGCAGUAUUUUUUAAAAUUAGAGGAUUUUGUUAUUUAAUAGAUUUUACACUUUAUAAUAUAUUUAAUUUUAAAUAUUGUAUAUUGUUGUAUUAAAUUAAUAUGUUUAUUAUUAUUAAUAAUUUAAUUUUAAAUAUUUGUAAUUCAAAUAAACAUGCAUAUUAUAAUUAAGGUUUAAAUGAAAUACAAUUAAUUUAAUUUAAUGGAUAUAAAUUUGUAAUAUUUUAUUUAAAUAGGAUUUAAUAUUAAAAUUUAAUAUAUAUUAAAUUUGAAUAUUAAAUAAAAUAUGUACAUAUUGCCCGUCGUUUUUAAAAUUAAUUAAAAUAA